rfam:Nectria haematococca mpVI 77-13-4 chromosome 8 genomic scaffold NECHAsca_17_chr8_1_0, whole genome shotgun sequence.
ACAUACGACCACAGCCCUCAUAGAAUACAGGAUCCCGUCUGCUCUCCGGUUGUCAAGCUGAGGAGCGCUCGAGUAGUAGUUGGGUCGGUGACGACCAGCGAAUGCCGGGUGUUGUAUGUU